AUAGAUUUGCCAUUCAUUCCUGAAUUUGCAGAACCAAGGAACACUUAUUUAUUAAAUGAUAAAUAUCUUUAAAAGCUAUCUCAGAGUGUAAAAAGAAAAACACUGUAUUUGUGGCUCUGCCGAGCCCCCACAUUGUCUUCUGUUGUGUAACAUGAAUUAUUUCUUCAGUGAGUGAUGGUGCUGCUUCUCUGUGUGUCUUGGUCUCCUAAGGACACAAAGAGACACAGGAAUGUGUUUAUGUAAUGUACUUACAUCCACUGUUCCCCAAUUGCGCACUGCUGACACGGUCUCCGCGCACAGAAAAUCUGCGCUGCACACACAAAAAAAAUCCAACCUAAAUUGUAAAUAAAAUAAAUGGUAACAAUUCAUUCUGUGCUAUUUUUCAAUGUGAGUCAGUGAGUGACCAGUGACUGGCUGCUGCAGCCAAUGAUGCGAUUCACAUACGUAUUUACCAUAGACUGUAUAUAAUGGUAUUUACUCAGCUAAUCAACGUCAGGCGUCCUUAUGUGCAGCCACCGUUGUUCUCAUAGAUAUGAAUGAGUAGAUAGGACACGCCCCUUUGAGCUGCGUGCUACAGCGAGGCUAAGCUAGUGGGAGCAAAGUUUCAGUGCAUUCCGUUGAUGUUGGCGUGAAAACGGAAACAAGUAUGCCGGCUCACUGUGCUGCAUACAAUUACACACUGCGUUGUACGAUUGAGACAAGGAAACUUGGAAUGACUUUUCAUAGGUUUCCCAGAGACUAUGGGUUGAGGAGGAAUUGGAAGUUUGUCUGCUUAGACCUGGUGUCAUUCCAUCAGUGUUAAACUUCCCGGCUCAUCUUGGAAGAGUACGUGCCAGAAAGACCACGACCAAGCAGCCUUGAGAUCUUAGGCAGUGUCUCCCUGAGGUCCCUCUCUAUCUCCCUACACAUCCACCAACCACUGGAACACAUCUCCAAAGUUCUGCCGGUCCAGCUCAGCUUCCCCUCAGAAGAAGUGCCGCCACCUGCCAGAUGAAGGAGCCUUUUGAGAGGCAGCUGGCAUCAUGAUUGGACUGUACUUUGGUCUGUUCCAAUCCAGCUUCAGUUCCAGAGACGGCAGGCGGGACGAGUCAACGGAGGCCGGGUGGAUGAAGACAUGCAGCUGAGUACAAUCCAGAUAACAACAGAGGAGGAGUGCAGCAGCCCAGGGCCAGAACAAACAGAGUAGCAUCGUAUGUCUCUUAGAAAACAUCAUAGUAUAGCCUUUGGUAUGAAGAAACACCAUCAUAUAUAUCGUAUAUUGUACAAAUAACAAGUCAAAGGAAAGAGACAUACAUUGUAGAAUUGUAGUAAUUGUGGGCUGACUGAUUUACUGAUUAUCAGUAUUUUAUUUUUUACUGAUUUACGGUAAUAAAUACAUUUAAAAAUGGUGCUACUUUGGCUCUGAACCUUUAUCUACCUGUGGUCGCUCUGUCUUCUGGAGUGAUUUGAUUGGUUAUACGUCACGAAUAAAACUCCUUUAACUUAACAUCUCUAAACAAAACAAAAACGUAUCAACAAAGUUUUCUGUUAGAGUUUGUGUUCUUCUAAGUUUAACUCAAGAUUUUAAAUACUUUCAUUUACUGCAAAUGAAUAUCUACUCCAAAUGUCUCACUAAUAAUCAUUAUCAGCCUUAAAAACCCACAAAACACCCCUCUAUACUCGACGACACUUAUUACAGUCCGGUUCCCCCUUCUAUAAAUCUGCUUGGAAUCUUCCACUUCCUGUUUGUCAAAGUGGCCUUCUACCUGGACAGGUUUUGUUGGAGCUCAUGCGACAAACAUUUUGGGUAACUGCACUUUAAUAUGGAUGGAUGACACUGAAUUAGAGUCUGUUUUAAUGAGACUGAGUUAAGAUGUAUAGCUCUGUCAUUAAAUAGUAAAUUAUUUCUCAGAAUUCACAGAGAAAAGUCUGAAAUGUUUGCUAGGUUAGCAUCCCACAUGUUCUUUGGCUCAGCUAAAGCUAACUCUCUCCAACUUCUGGAUCUCUUGAGUUGCUUGUUGUUAAAAUAUCUUGCUGUAGGUGCUGAAGCUCAGAAAGUCUGAGAUGUUUGUUCAAAAUCAGCUCAUUCUCAAGUCUUAUCUGAACUGUCCUCUUUUGUUUGAACUUUCCCUAAACUUAGGAGUUAAUGACAGAGCAGCACAUCCAGACUCAGUCUCAUUUAUGUAGAGAUUAAACUUCAAUGUCAUUCAUUGAUGUUAAAGUGCAGUUUUUCAAAUGUGUGUUGCACAUGCUCCUGACCAAACCAGUCCAGGUGGAAGACGAUGUGAAGAGAAAGCUCCAGAGGAUGAAUAUCACACAUUUACAUUGGAAAUUAAUGUCCUUUAAUUAGGCAUUGUCAUGCAAAAGUUGGAUUUCCCUUUGUUGAUGUUGGUUUCUAAAUGUUUUUUGACACUCGGCCCCAAAGAUUAAAACCUUCUACGGCUCACAAGCUGCAACAAUUCACACAUUAUCAACUAUCUGUCUGACUAAACUAAGAUAAAAAGUGAAAAACUGCCUGAUUCCUGCAUCAUGAAUGUAAAUCUUUUUGGUUUUUAUGACAGUAAACUGAAUAUAUUUGGGCUUGACAUUUUAUAAACCAAAACAAGAAAUGAAUUACUGGAGAAAAGGACAGAUUAAUGGACAAAGAAAAUGUGUUUUCUGACAUAUAUGAAUUACUCCAACAUUACAAGAUACAUACAAUUUUAAUUCAAUUUUAUUUAUAUAAUGCCAAUUACAGGUCAAAUUGUCUGAAGACGCUUUAUUUUUAUAUUUUUUUGUCAUAUUUAAAAUAGGACAAAGUAAGAAAUUUAAACCUCUUGACUAAUCCAAUUUAUUAUUUAGUUUUUAAGAGACUAAUUGACAAUUCAAACUUUCUCCACUAAAACUAAUAAACAUGAGGUCAAAUAGAAGGAACAGUUUUAAAUACUGCAGUCCCACGACGACAAGAAUAAAGUUUCUCAACAAAAAACUAAAUCUGCUGGUGGAUUCCAUGAAAGUCCUAAUAAAGGAUAAUAAAGUGUGAUACUAAAGCUUUGUGGUGCUAAAAAUCUCAAAGUAAAGAUAUCAAGUUGAACAUGUGGAUGGAGGUUGAUAAAAGUUGACCUUCUUUCAUUUCUCUGGAGCCGACUCCAUGGAUUUUAUGGAUGGUGGUUAAAGACCUGCUCUUCUAGUUGUCUUCCUUCCAGUGGCUGUAAAAAGUCAUUCCAUCCUGGUCGACUUCAACACCUCUUCAUGACAACUUGUUCUGCCUCCGACCUCGUGGAAACUCAAGAAACUCGGGAAAACCUGUCGAGACUCGAAGAACUCGUGGAGACUCGAAGAACUCGUCGGGCGGGGGAAGGUGUGGUGGGUGGUGGGGGAGUAGAGGGGGGAGGCCGCCACCCACCUCCCCGCCUACUCUCCGCCCUGACUCCACCCAGACUCCGCCUUGGCUCCGCCCAUGUGGUGACUUCAGCAACUACGAUGUCAAAGGGACGACGAAUUUAUUUCUUUUCAUCUGAUCUGUAGCUCAGUGAGUUAAGGAUUUGCCUAUGGAGCUGCAGGUCGCUGGUUCAAGACCAGACACUUCUUAAAUUUUCAUCAAAUUCCUGACAAAGACAAAGAAAGAAAACUGCCAGUGGCGGGUCUUGAACCUGCGACCUUCCACUUGGUAGUCCGUCUUCUUAUCCCCUGAGCUAUUCGCUCAGAUACUAAUUCUUCUUUUUUUUGCGCAUUUAUCAUCUAUUUUUUGUCGUUUUCGAGUUUUUUUUAACUCGAGUCUCGACUCGACCGUUUUUCUCAGGAGGUUGGACUUCAGCCUUUGUGUUGGAGGGUUGAACCCUCAGUUCCAAGACUUUCCAAAGCCUCCAGACCUCCCGAGUCCUCAGGACCUGAGCUUUCACACAGUCUGAGGGCUGAAAUUUUCUAAGUCCCACAGUAGUUCUCUGUUAGAUUUAACUUUCAGACAGUCCAAGGACUGAUAUCUUCUAAGUUCCUGAGUAGUUCUCUGUUAGUUUGAACCUUUCCACAGUCUGAGGACUGAAAUCCUAAAAGUUCUUGAGUACUUCUCUGCUAGUUUGAACCUUCAGACAGUCUGAGGGCUGAAAUUUUAAAAGUUUCUCAGUACUUCUCUGUUAGUUUGAAGUUUCUGGUUAACAGAAGCCUUAAAACUUGUGACCAUGAGUCUUGAUUUCACAUUUAGACCAUCCAUCUGAGUUCUUCUCAGACCUUCACCUGUGGGUUUUUUAGAAAUCCUCAACAAACUUUGAUUCUCUUCACUGAACAGUAAAGUUUGUGGAGAUCAGAAGGUAACAUUAGUUUGAUCGAUGCCUUCAACUACUAGUAGACUUUAUCUGGAAAUCAGUUUUCUUGAAUGAGUUCUUAGUAAAUCUGUCCACAAUCAAACCAAGAACAUAGAAAGAGGAAAUGUUUGAAGAAACAACAUGAUGUUUUCAUUUCAGACUAGAAAACACUGAAAGACAUUUAUCUGUUUUUGCUCUUUUUGAUCGUUUUAUUGUCUCUUCUGUUUAAUUUGAUCUUCUAAAGUCUAACUGGUGUCUUUUCAAAUGUUUUGUCUUUAGUUUGAUUCUUCUUAAAUGUUUAGUUUUGCUCUUUUCUCACCUUUUAUUCUUUUCUAAUGUCUGAUUUGAUUUCCAAAUGUUUUGUUUUUUUAAUGUUUAAUUGUUGAUUUUUUCAAAUGUUUUAUCGGCUUGUUUGAAAAAUUUCCUUUUCUUCCCCCGUGUUUAAUUUUUCAAUUAAAUCUUUAAGGUUUUUCUUUUUAA